rnacentral:misc_RNA from 1 species
AUGAGAAAGAAAUUUAAUAUCAGGGGUAGCUAUAGUUCCUUGGAUGAUUGCAUAUACCAUAUUUUCUGCUCCUGCUGUGCGUUAUCCCAGGAGUCCAGAACAUUGGAGAUGAACAAUGUCCAAGAUGGCACCUGGCAUGGUCGGGGUGACACAAUAUGCAUAGGUAGUUAUAGUGAAGGAAACAAGGCAAUCUAUGAACUACACCUGCCUUCUGUCGUCUCAACCAAUUCCUCUGAUAUUGGUGACCACUCUUGACCUUGGGAAGUUUGGACUUUUGGAUACCUUGAUCCUCAGUCUCAAUCCAGACUACAUUUACAUGAUAUUGGCGUUCCACUCGAUUGUUUUGAAGAGAGAGAUGAACUGCAGGCCAGGUGGGACUUACCUGCGAGAUUAGCUAUCAAACAGAAGCGUAAUCUUUGCUGUUCUACUUGAGGCCACUGCUUGUUUGGAUCAGGAAAAAUGAUCUGUUCUGAAGUAUUUUAUGAGGAAGAUGUUUGCUGUCCAUGUGAUGUGCUCUGCAGAGAUUGUAUUAAAACAAGUGUGGCCUUACUAGGGGAGACCCUCUUGCUUUAGAUGCUUAGUGGUGGAAAAUUGUUGUCGUUGUAUAUUUAUUCUGUCGAAUUUGCGGUAGCCUCAUUCAUCCCCAC